UGGCCACCCACCAGCGUCCCUGGCUCUGGGGGGUGUAUGUCUUCACUGUUGGACUUCCAGCCGUUCUCUUCGUCAGCUUCAUGUGGCCUGACAAGAGAUUUGGACCACCAGAUCAAGAGUACUACUAUAAGAAGUCUGAUGACACUCAACCAGAUGAUCCUGAGUUCUCAAAGCAGACAGACGCAGUGGAUAUCAAAGGAACGGCUGACAGAGCUAGAGGAAGAAGGAGAGAUACUCAUGGUAACACGAGGAAGGGUGACCUAGACCUAAAGGAUCAUUGAUAAGUGCAAUCUGAGGAAAGCACCACCACUACAUAAGGGGAGGCUCGGCAAUCACAUCUUUGUCAAGUCAUAUUGAAAUUUGUGAAAAAUAUGUCCUAGGAGUGAUUGUAUUAUUAUUUUCUUGAGAAGAUAAUGUCAUGUCAGUCCACUUGUAAAUGUUUUUACAUAUGAAAUAAAGAUACAAUGUAUAAUGUA